rnacentral:rRNA from 1 species
UACGGAGGAUGCAAGCGUUAUCCGGAUUUAUUGGGUUUAAAGGGUGCGUAGGCGGACUCAUAAGUCAGCGGUGAAAGUUUGCGGCUCAACCGUAAAAUUGCCGUUGAAACUGUGAGUCUUGAGUGUAGAUGAGGUGGGUGGAAUUCGUGGUGUAGCGGUGAAAUGCAUAGAUAUCACGAAGAACUCCAAUUGCGUAGGCAGCUCACUGGACUACAACUGACGCUGAGGCACGAAGGUGCGGGGAUCAAACAGG